rnacentral:rRNA from 1 species
UACGAAGGGGGCUAGCGUUGCUCGGAAUGACUGGGCGUAAAGGGCGCGUAGGCGGAUUGAUUAGUUAGGCGUGAAAUUCCUGGGCUCAACCUGGGGACUGCGCUUAAUACAGGUAGGCUAGAGUGUGAAAGAGGGUCGUGGAAUUUCCAGUGUAGAGGUGAAAUUCGUAGAUAUUGGAAAGAAACACCGGUGGCGAAGGCGGCGACCUGGUUCAUUACUGAGCUGAGGCGCGAAAGCGUGGGGGAGCAAACAGG